rnacentral:tRNA from 1 species
UCCUGUGUGGCUCAGUUGGUAGAGCAUGGCUCGAACCCAGGGUUGUGGGUUCGAUUCCCACAGGGGAC